AGCAGCCGCGGUAAUUCCAGCUCCAAUAGCGUAUAUUAAAGUUGCUGCAGUUAAAAGCUCGUAGUUGAAUUUCGGGAUCAAUAUGUUGGUCGUGCCUCGGUACGUACUAGCUUAUUGGUUUCUUCCUUCUGACGAACCAUAAUGUCAUUUAUUUGGUGUUAUGGGGAAUCAGGACUGUUACUUUGAAAAAUUAGAGUGUUUAAAGCAGGUUCACGCUUAAAUACAUUAGCAUGGAAUAAUGAAAUAGGACGUUUGAUUCUAUUUUGUUGGUUUCUAGGAUCGACGUAAUGAUUAAUAGGGAUAGUUGGGGGCAUUAGUAUUCAAUUGUCAGAGGUGAAAUUCUUGGAUUUAUUGAAGACUAACUACUGCGAAAGCAUUUGCCAAGGAUGUUUUCAUUAAUCAAGAACGAAAGUUAGGGAUCGAAGACGAUCAGAUACCGUCGUAGUCUUAACCAUAAACUAUGCCGACUAGGGAUCGGAUGAUGUUAAUUUUUAAUGACUCAUUCGGCGCCUUACGGGAA
rnacentral:misc_RNA from 1 species